GUGAGGAAUAUUGGGCAAUGGGCGCAAGCCUGACCCAGCCAUGCCGCGUGAAGGAUGAAUGCCCUAUGGGUUGUAAACUUCUUUUGUACGGGACGAAACUUUCGGACGUGUCCGAGACUGACAGUACCGUACGAAUAAGCAUCGGCUAACUCCGUGCCAGCAGCCGCGGUAAUACGGAGGAUGCAAGCGUUAUCCGGAUUCAUUGGGUUUAAAGGGUGCGUAGGCGGGAUGAUAAGUCAGUGGUGAAAGCCUGCGGCUUAACCGUAGAAUUGCCAUUGAUACUGCCAUUCUUGAGUACAGUUGAGGUGGGCGGAAUGUGUAAUGUAGCGGUGAAAUGCUUAGAUAUUACACAGAACACCGAUUGCGAAGGCAGCUCACUAAGCUGUUACUGACGCUGAGGCACGAAAGCGUGGGGAGCAAACAGGAUUAGAUACCCUAGUAGUCC
rnacentral:rRNA from 1 species